rnacentral:rRNA from 1 species
GAUGAACGCUGGCGGCGUGCUUAACACAUGCAAGUCGAACGGUGAACGAGGGAGCUUGCUCCCUCCGGAUCAGUGGCAAACGGGUGAGUAACACGUGAGCAAUCUGCCCUGGACUCUGGGAUAAGCGUUGGAAACGACGUCUAAUACCGGAUACGAGGCGUGGGGGCAUCCCCAACGCCUGGAAAGAACUUCGGUCCAGGAUGAGCUCGCGGCCUAUCAGCUAGUUGGUGAGGUAGCGGCUCACCAAGGCGACGACGGGUAGCCGGCCUGAGAGGGUGACCGGCCACACUGGGACUGAGACACGGCCCAGACUCCUACGGGAGGCAGCAGUGGGGAAUAUUGCACAAUGGGCGCAAGCCUGAUGCAGCAACGCCGCGUGAGGGACGACGGCCUUCGGGUUGUAAACCUCUUUUAGCAGGGAAGAAGCGAAAGUGACGGUACCUGCAGAAAAAGCACCGGCUAACUACGUGCCAGCCGCCGCCGUAAUAC